UACGGGGGGGGUAAGCGUUGUUCGGAAUUACUGGGCGUAAAGGGCUCGUAGGCGGCCAACUAAGUCAGACGUGAAAUCCCUCAGCUUAACUGGGGAACUGCGUCUGAUACUGGAUGGCUUGGAUCCGGGAGAGGGAUGCGGAAUUCCAGGUGUAGCGGUGAAAUGCGUAGAUAUCUGGAGGAACACCGGUGGCGAAGGCGGCAUCCUGGACCGGUAUUGACGCUGAGGAGCGAAAGCGUGGGGAGCAAACAGG
rnacentral:rRNA from 1 species